rnacentral:rRNA from 1 species
AGAGUUUGAUCCUGGCUCAGGACGAACGCUGGCGGCGUGCCUAAUACAUGCAAGUAGAACGCUGAAGGAGGAGCUUGCUUCUCUGGAUGAGUUGCGAACGGGUGAGUAACGCGUAGGUAACCUGCCUGGUAGCGGGGGAUAACUAUUGGAAACGAUAGCUAAUACCGCAUAAGAGUAGAUGUUGCAUGACAUUUGCUUAAAAGGUGCAAUUGCAUCACUACCAGAUGGACCUGCGUUGUAUUAGCUAGUUGGUGAGGUAACGGCUCACCAAGGCGACGAUACAUAGCCGACCUGAGAGGGUGAUCGGCCACACUGGGACUGAGACACGGCCCAGACUCCUACGGGAGGCAGCAGUAGGGAAUCUUCGGCAAUGGACGGAAGUCUGACCGAGCAACGCCGCGUGAGUGAAGAAGGUUUUCGGAUCGUAAAGCUCUGUUGUAAGAGAAGAACGAGUGUGAGAGUGGAAAGUUCACACUGUGACGGUAUCUUACCAGAAAGGGACGG